GUGGUGACACAAAAUCGGAGGCCCGACUGUUACUAAAAACACAACACAGUGCAAUCAUUAAUAUGAUAGUAUACUGUGUGAAUUGCCCGAUGCCAUUAAUAUAAGUGCNGUCAUGGUAACUGUGACUAAUCGAAAUCUGGUUAAUAGCGUCUUAACUAUGAGGAUCCUAAGGUAGCAAAAUCAGUUGGCCAUUAAAUGUGGUCCGGUAUCAAUAAUGUAACGAUGGCUUCACUGUCUC
rnacentral:rRNA from 1 species